AUACUUUACACAAAAUGCACACAUAUGGAAACAAAAUAAAACAAGUAAGGUUUUCUCUUUUCCAGAUAACAGAUAAAGCCUGUGCACUUUGUAAGGUUUUAUAUUUUACUGACUGAGGUUUUAUAUUUUACUGACUGAGGUUUUAUAUUUUACUGACUGAGGUUUUAUAUUUUACUGGCUGAGGUUUUAUAUUUUACUGGCUGAGGUUUUAUAUUUUACUGGCUGAGUAAGGUUUUAUAUUUUACUGGCUGAAUAAGGUUUUAUAUUUUACUGGCUGAAUAAGGUUUUAUAUUUUACUGGCUGAAUAAGGUUUUAUAUUUUACUGACUGAGGUUUUAUAUUUUACAGACUGAGGUUUUAUAUUUUACUGACUGAGGUUUUAUAUUUUACUGGCUGAGGUUUUAUAUUUUACUGACUGAGGUUUUAUAUUUUACUGACGGAGGUUUUAUAUUUUACUGAAUGAGAAAGGUUUUAUAUUUUACUGGCUGAGGUUUUAUAUUUUACUGGCUGAGGUUUUAUAUUUUACUGACUGAGGUUUAAUAUUUUACUGGCUGAGGUUUUAUAUUUUACUGACUGAGGUUUAAUAUUUUACUGGCUGAGGUUUUAUAUUUUACUGACUGGGGUUUUAUAUUUUACUGGCUGAGGUUUUAUAUCUUACUGACUGAGGUUUUAUAUACUGCUCAAAAAAAUAAAGGGAACACUUAAACAACACAUCCUAGAUCUGAAUAAAAUAAAUAAUCUUAUUAAAUA
rnacentral:lncRNA from 1 species